rfam:Otolemur garnettii contig085227, whole genome shotgun sequence.
AUUGACUUUCCUAGUUUAAACUUAAUAUUAUAACUGCUGUGGUCAAAAAGGAGCCUCACGUGACAGUUUUCCUUGAUGGUCGCCAUUCUGUUUGCUGUCACUGAUCUGCAACAUUUUGGGAAAACACAGUG